CGCCUUUUGAAUUAUUAACAUAAAAGGUCCUGCCUGCCCAGUGACACUUGUUUCAACGGCCGCGGUAUCAUGACCGUGCAAAGGUAGCGUAAUCACUUGUCUUUUAAAUAAAGACCGGUAUGAAUGGCAAGACGAAACCUAACUGUCUCCUUAAGCUAAUCAAUGAAAUUGAUCUUCCCGUGCAGAAGCGGGAAUAAUAAUAUAAGACGAGAAGACCCUGUGGAGCUUCAAAAUUAAGCUAACAGAUUAUAAUGCCUUAGCAUACAGUUUUGGGUUGGGGCGACCAUGAGGUAAAACACAACCCUCAAGACGAAAACUAAGAAGGACACUUCAAAUAAAUAAUAAUAUAGUAAUUGACCCAAUAAUUGAUCAACGAACCAAGUUACCCCAGGGAUAACAGCGCAAUCUACUCAAAGAGCCCUUAUCGACGAGCAGGUUUACGACCUCGAUGUUGGAUCAGGACUUCCAAAUAAUGUAACAAUUAUUAAAGGUUCGUUUGUUCAACGAUUAAAGUCCU
rnacentral:rRNA from 1 species